rnacentral:rRNA from 1 species
GAUCAUGGCUCAGGACGAACGCUGGCGGCGUGCUUAACACAUGCAAGUCGAACGGAGCACCCUUGAUUGAGGUUUCGGCCAAAUGAUAGGAAUGCUUAGUGGCGGACUGGUGAGUAACGCGUGAGGAACCUGCCUUUCAGAGGGGGGACAACAGUUGGAAACGACUGCUAAUACCGCAUGACGCAUUUUGAUCGCAUGGUCGAAAUGCCAAAGAUUUAUCGCUGAAAGAUGG